rnacentral:rRNA from 1 species
CCUACGGGAGGCAGCAGUGAGGAAUAUUGGUCAAUGGGCGCGAGCCUGAACCAGCCAAGUCGCGUGAGGGAAGACGGUCCUAUGGAUUGUAAACCUCUUUUGUCGGGGAGCAAGGGCGGGGACGUGUCCCGGCCCGGAGAGUACCCGGAGAAAAAGCAUCGGCUAACUCCGUGCCAGCAGCCGCGGUAAUACGGAGGAUCCGAGCGUUAUCCGGAUUUAUUGGGUUUAAAGGGAGCGUAGAUGGGUUGUUAAGUCAGUUGUGAAAGUUUGCGGCUCAACCGUAAAAUUGCAAUUGAUACUGGCAGCCUUGAGUACAGUGGAGGUAGGCGGAAUUCGUGGUGUAGCGGUGAAAUGCUUAGAUAUCACGAAGAACUCCGAUUGCGAAGGCAGCCUACUAAACUGCCACUGACAUUGAUGCUCGAAAGUGUGGGUAUCAAACAGGAUUAGAUACCCUUGUAGUC